GAUGAACGCUAGCGGGAGGCUUAACACAUGCAAGUCGAGGGGCAGCACGAGGUAGCAAUACUUUGGUGGCGACCGGCGCACGGGUGAGUAACGCGUAUGCAACCUACCCUGUACAGGGGGAUAACCCGGAGAAAUUCGGACUAAUACCCCAUAAAGAUAUUUAGAGGCAUCUUUGAAUAUUUAAAGUUCCGGCGGUACGGGAUGGGCAUGCGUAACAUUAGCUAGUUGGUAAGGUAACGGCUUACCAAGGCAACGAUGUUUAGGGGUCCUGAGAGGGUGAUCCCCCACACUGGUACUGAGACACGGACCAGACUCCUACGGGAGGCAGCAGUGAGGAAUAUUGGUCAAUGGGCGCAAGCCCGAACCAGCCAUCCCGCGUGAAGGAAGAAUGCGCUAUGCGUUGUAAACUUCUUUUCUAGGGGGAUAAAAUUUUGUACGUGUACGGAAUUGAAGGUACCCUGGGAAUAAGCAUCGGCUAACUCCGUGCCAGCCGCCGCGGUAAAAC
rnacentral:rRNA from 1 species